AAAGAAGAAAAAGGAAAAAGAAAAAAGAAAAUAGAAAUUAAAAUUCAUCCUCAUCCUUCUCCUCUCUUUUUCGCGCUCUCUCUACGCUACUCUCUUCAUCUCUGUAAAAUUUCAACAGCUUUCUACUCUCUCUGAUAAGCCACCGUGAUAUCUCCAAUCACUCCACCGGGAGGCAUGUAGUAACCACCGCCAAUUCAAGCUCUCAAUUCCCCCUAGUUUUUCUCAAUUUUGGAGCUGAGGUUGCAAACCCACCUCCACUUAGAUUUUCAAAUUAGUUGAAAUUAGAGGUGAACCGAGUGCAAGCACAAGCGAUAGGGGAAAUGGGCACAUCCAUGGUUGACUAAACAAUUAAUAGAGUUUUUGUGACGUGUACAGAGUUUAGAAGCGAGUGAUCUCGCUCGUGGGCAGUUGCACGUGUCAAGUCACUACCCUCCUUUUUGCUGGUACAGUUGGAGUUCUCACGUGGCAUGCUUAGGCUAACUUUUGAUUGUAUAUAGUUGGGUUAGAGAUGUAAGGUCAUGUAACCUUCUUUUGCUAACGGGAUUGUAAAUAAUUGUCGAAGCAUGGUAUCGUUAUUUUGUUAUGUAUAGUAGUAACUGGUUGUGCUAA